rnacentral:rRNA from 1 species
CCUACGGGCGGCAGCAGUGGGGAAUAUUGCACAAUGGGGGAAACCCUGAUGCAGCGACGCCGCGUGAGUGAAGAAGUAUUUCGGUAUGUAAAGCUCUAUCAGCAGGGAAGAAAAUGACGGUACCUGACUAAGAAGCACCGGCUAAAUACGUGCCAGCAGCCGCGGUAAUACGUAUGGUGCAAGCGUUAUCCGGAUUUACUGGGUGUAAAGGGAGCGUAGACGGAUAGGCAAGUCUGGAGUGAAAACCCGGGGCUCAACCCCGGGACUGCUUUGGAAACUGUUUAUCUAGAGUGCUGGAGAGGUAAGUGGAAUUCCUAGUGUAGCGGUGAAAUGCGUAGAUAUUAGGAGGAACACCAGUGGCGAAGGCGGCUUACUGGACAGUAACUGACGUUGAGGCUCGAAAGCGUGGGGAGCAAACAGGAUUAGAUACCCGAGUAGUC